rnacentral:rRNA from 1 species
GGGAAUGCAGCUCUAAAUGGGUGGUAAAUUUCACCUAAUGCUAAAUAUAAGCGAGAGACCGAUAGCGAACAAGUACCGUGAGGGAAAGAUGAAAAGAACUUUGAAAAGAGAGUUAAAUAGUACGUGAAAUUGUUGAAAGGGAAACGGUUGAAGUCAGUCAUGCCGGCGGGAAUCAACUUAGGGGAAACUCUGAGUGCACUUCUUCGCUUGGCAGGUUAGCGUCGAUUUUGGAUGUCAUAAAAUGACUGGGGGAAGGUAGCUCUUUCGGGAGUGUUAAGCCCUUAGUAGAUGUGAUGUCCGGGAUCGAGGAUUGCAACGGAUACCUUUUGGGCUAACCGCCUAGUCUCUAAUACGAAGUUGGGUUAUGGACAGCACGCUGACUGUGAUCUGAUUUUCGGUUAAAAGAUUAG